AAUUUCACUCGUCAUCGCUACAACUAUAAUAAAUUAUAAAUAUAUCUCUCUCAAAUUUAUUCUAAUAUUUUUAAAUAUGUUAUUCUGAUUUGUUACCGUUAAAGUACUGUCUAUUUUAUAAAAAAAAAAUGAUAUAUUUAUCAUUAUAAAUAAAUAUAUUUCUCCAAAAAUUCUAACUGUUAAUAAAAAAUGGAUAAAAAGAUCACUUCACCUUAUUAAUUAAUCUGGUUUACGUAUUUAACCUAUAGUUAACUAAAUUUUUCUAACGGAUUCUGACGAUAAUGAGAUAUUUGAAAACAUCAGGAUUUUUACAGAAACAACAUAUGAAAGUUGAACUUUGUAGAAAUAUAUUGGCAAUUUAUGAUAUUUGCAGGAUCCUGUAUACAAUUAGCUUAAAAUUUUAUUAUAAUUAAAGCAUAAAAAAUAACUUUUUCAAAAAAUUAUAAACUCAUGGAUACACUCAUCUGCUCUCUUUUCAGCCACACCGUUUUACGGAAUAAAAUAUAUACAUUUACUUAUUUCAAAAUUUCUACUUUAAAA
rnacentral:lncRNA from 1 species